rfam:Gossypium raimondii Chr01_contig_687, whole genome shotgun sequence.
CACGUCAGUGCGCUUUACUGACGUGGCAACAAAUCGCGCCCUCUAGGACGUGAUUUUUUGCCACGUCAGCAAAGCGCGCUGACGUGG